CGCGAGGCAGAUAACGCAAUCGAGCUGAGAAAGGCAAUACAUCAAAGUACUGGAUUAGAUGUCGUUGUUUUGUCUGGUGAAGAGGAGGCAAGGUUUGUGUACUUGGGUGUACUUCAGUUUUUACCAGUUUUUGGGAAAAGAGUUUUGGUUGUGGAUAUUGGAGGUGGGUCUACAGAAUUUGUCAUAGGGGACAGAGGAAAUGUUAUUUUGGGGGUCUCUUUGAAGUUGGGGCAUGUGGGUUUGACUCAGAAGUCACUUAAUAGUGGUAAUGUUUCGGACAUGAGAAAGUUUGUUAAGUUAGUUAUAAGAGAAUCCGGGUUGAUUGAGAAAGUUAAGGAGUGUGGUUUUGAGGUGGUUGUUGGGACUUCAGGGACUGUUAGGGCAAUUGAGGAAGCUAUUUUUUAUGGUUAUGGACAAGAUUUGGUUGAUAGUAAUGAGGUUUUGUUCAGGAAUUGUAAUAGGGAUUGGAAGUUUAGCAGAGGAGAGUUGAGGAGUGUUGUUGAUAGGUUGUGUAAGGAAGGAGUGGC
rnacentral:misc_RNA from 1 species